rnacentral:rRNA from 1 species
AGAGCCCUACGGGGCGCAGCAGUGGGGAAUAUUGCACAAUGGGGGAAACCCUGAUGCAGCGAUGCCGCGUGGAGGUAGAAGGUUUUCGGAUUGUAAACUCCUUUUAUCAGGGACGAUAAUGACGGUACCUGAAGAAAAAGCUCCGGCUAACUACGUGCCAGCAGCCGCGGUAAUACGUAGGGAGCGAGCGUUGUCCGGAAUUACUGGGUGUAAAGGGAGCGUAGGCGGGACGGCAAGUCAGAUGUGAAAACUGAGGGCUCAACUUUCAGACUGCAUUUGAAACUGCUGUUCUUGAGUGAAUGAGG